CGCUGGCGGCAUGCCUUACACAUGCAAGUCGAACGGCAGCGCGGGGCAACCUGGCGGCGAGUGGCGAACGGGUGAGUAAUAUAUCGAAACGUACCCUGGAGUGGGGGAUAACGUAGCGAAAGUUACGCUAAUACCGCAUACGAUCUAAGGAUGAAAGUGGGGGAUCGCAAGACCUCAUGCUCCUGGAGCGGCCGAUAUCUGAUUAGCUAGUUGGUAGGGUAAAAGCCUACCAAGGCAUCGAUCAGUAGCUGGUCUGAGAGGACGACCAGCCACACUGGAACUGAGACACGGUCCAGACUCCUACGGGAGGCAGCAGUGGGGAAUUUUGGACAAUGGGCGAAAGCCUGAUCCAGCAAUGCCGCGUGAGUGAAGAAGGCCUUCGGGUUGUAAAGCUCUUUUGUCAGGGAAGAAACGGUGAGAGCUAAUAUCUCUUGCUAAUGACGGUACCUGAAGAAUAAGCACCGGCUAACUACGUGCCAGCAGCCGCGGUAAUACGUAGGGUGCAAGCGUUAAUCGGAAUUACUGGGCGUAAAGCGUGCACAGGCGGUUUUGUAAGUCUGUCGUGAAAUCCCCGGGCUCAACCUGGGAAUGGCGAUGGAGACUGCAAGGCUAGAGUUUGGCAGAGGGGGGUAGAAUUCCACGUGUAGCAGUGAAAUGCGUAGAUAUGUGGAGGAACAUCGAUGGCGAAGGCAGCCCCCUGGGUCAA
rnacentral:rRNA from 1 species